GCCAGACCUAGCCCUACGUUAACCCCCAUCCAACUCAACUACCAACCGUACCCAAAAAUCAAACCAUUUACCUACAUAAAAGUAUAUGCGAUAGAAAUUAUUAACAGGCGCCAUAGAGAAAGUACCGCAAGGGAAAGAUGAAAGAACAACUAACAGCACAAAGCAGCAAAGACCAGCCCUUUUACCUUUUGCAUAAUGAAUUAACUAGAAAAGCCCUUGCAAAGAGCACUUUAGUUAGGUAUCCCGAACCCAGACGAGCUACCUGCAGACAGUACAAAGAACUAAUUCAUCUAUGUAGCAAAAUAGUGAAAAGAUCUUCAGGUAGAGGUGAAAAGCCAAUCGAGCCUGGCGAUAGCUGGUUGUCCAGAAACCGAAUCUAAGUUCAACUUAAAAUUUGCCUAAAGAAUAUAAUACCAAAUCUCAACACAAAUUUUAAAAAUACUCAACAGGGGUACAGCUCUGUUGACAAGGGACAAGCCCCACUUAGAGAGUAACUUUCCACCACCCCCUACAUAGUUGGCCUAAAAGCAGCCACCAAUAAAGAAAGCGUUCAAGCUCAACAAUAGCGACACCAAAAAAUCCCAAAAUACACCCCUAACUCCUAGACCCCUACUGGACUAAUCUAUACCAUAGAAGAAAUAAUGUUAAUAUAAGUAACAAGAACGAACUUCUCCAUGCACAAGCUUAUAUCAGAACGGACCCGCCACUGAUAGUUAACAACCAGACUCUUCCACACCACUAAACAUCAUUGAGUCACCACUAAUUGUUAACCCAACACAGGAAUGCAUACUGGAAAGAUUAAAAAGAAUAGAAGGAACUCGGCAAACAUAAAUCCCGCCUGUUUACCAAAAACAUCACCUCUAGCAUAACAAUUAUUAGAGGCACCGCCUGCCCAGUGACACAUGUUCAACGGCCGCGGUACCCUGACCGUGCAAAGGUAGCAUAAUCAUUUGUUCUCUAAUUAAGGACUUGCAUGAAAGGCCCAACGAGGAUUUUACUGUCUCCUAUUCCCAAUCAGUGAAAUUGACCUCCCCGUGAAGAGGCGGGGAUGAACCUAUAAGACGAGAAGACCCUAUGGAGCUUCAAUUAAUUAGCCUAACCAUGACCUACACAAACCAACAGGAACAACUGUCCAUGGCCUAGACUAACAAUUUCGGUUGGGGUGACCUCGGAGCACAAAAAACCCUCCGAAUGACUACAAACCUAGACUUAACCAGUCAACGUGCUUCAAUACCACUAAUUGACCCAAGCAAUUGAUCAACGGAACAAGUUACCCUAGGGAUAACAGCGCAAUCCUAUUUCAGAGUCCAUAUCGACAAUAGGGUUUACGACCUCGAUGUUGGAUCAGGACAUCCUAAUGGCGCAACCGCUAUUGAAGGUUCGUUUGUUCAACGAUUAAAGUCCUACGUGAUCUGAGUUCAGACCGGAGCAAUCCAGGUCGGUUUCUAUCUAUAAACCUUUUCUCCCAGUACGAAAGGACAAGAGAAACAGGGCCUACUUUGCAAAAGCGCCCUAAAGCCAAAUAGAUGAACUAAUCUAAAUCUGAUAAACCCCUAACAACCAACCCAAGACCAGGGUUU
rnacentral:rRNA from 1 species